CUUCGGACCAAAGAUUUAUCGCCCAAGGAUGAGCCCGCGUAGGAUUAGCUAGUUGGUGAGGUAAAAGCUCACCAAGGCGACGAUCCUUAGCUGGUCUGAGAGGAUGAUCAGCCACACUGGGACUGAGACACGGCCCAGACUCCUACGGGAGGCAGCAGUGGGGAAUAUUGGACAAUGGGCGAAAGCCUGAUCCAGCAAUGCCGCGUGAGUGAUGAAGGCCCUAGGGUUGUAAAGCUCUUUUACCCGGGAUGAUAAUGACAGUACCGGGAGAAUAAGCUCCGGCUAACUUCGUGCCAGCAGCCGCGGUAAUACUAUUUGUUUUCUAGCGUUGUUCGGAAUUACUGGGCGUAAAGCUCGUGUAGGCGGUUUUUUAAGUCAGAGGUGAAAGCCCGGGGCUCAACCCCGGAAUAGCCUUUGAAACUGGAAAACUAGAAUCUUGGAGAGGUCAGUGGAAUUCCGAGUGUAGAGGUGAAAUUCGUAGAUAUUCGGAAGAACACCAGUGGCGAAGGCGACUGACU
rnacentral:rRNA from 1 species